CUCAUUGUCCCCGCCCCUUGCUCUGUUUUCUUCCAGCUGCCGGACCAGCGGGCCUGCCGCCUCUACGGACCAGUCCCUGCUCAGGCGUGCACACCGAGCGGCGGGGCGCUGUGGAACGCGGGAGCGGACUAGCGGAGGAGGAUGCGGACCAAGCCCCAGCGACCCAGGGCAACUCGGAGCUACCUCGGGCAGCCCUGCGGGUCUCCGAGGAGAACCGAGGAGACGGGAGAAACAUGGGAGAGGGUGGCCUUUUCCCUGUUCACACACACAUGCACGCAGCCACUGGCCGGGACAGUUGACACCCAUCUUCCUUCCCUGCUCCUUCCAGUCAUUCUACACCCGCUUGGUGCUGCCAGUGCGGGCAGGGCCUUGGAGCCCAAAGCGGAUCCCCACACUUGUCCCUACGGUCGGAAGGAAAGUAGAGGAGAGAAAGUCAGGCGCGGCAGGGCUAAGAGCAAUAGUGGCCCAAAUGUUCCUGGCCCGCCUGCUGCGCCACAGAGUCUGAAAAGCGGGUCUCCGUCUACCAGAAGGUGACCUCCACACAGCCCCUCUCCCCGACCAACUGCAGCACCCAAGGACUGGCAACGUGGUUGGAGCUUUUGGGGGGAAUUAUGAAGAAAUCUGAAUAAAUUUCUCACCCUUCAUGUU
rnacentral:lncRNA from 10 species